GGAGAGGUGGGUGAGUGGCUGAAACCAGCAGUUUGCUAAACUGUCGUACUCGGACACGGGUACCGGGGGUUCGAAUCCCCCUCUCUCCG
rnacentral:tRNA from 1 species